AAAGAAACUCCCGAAAGCGACGUGGACUUACAAAAGUUAGUGUGCAUUCCACUUGUAAGUAGACGUUUCAGCGAGUGAAGUUUGCUUUGUGAAGCGAAAUAUGAUUCCUACAAGAUUCAAGAGCGAAACAAAGCGAUAGAUCAAAAGUUCCAUGUUCCCGAAAGCGACGUGGACUUACAAAAGUUAGUGUGCAUAGCUCCGUAAGGUCACACGAGAAUGGUCGAAUUGGAUACGAAACAUAAAGAAACUUCCCGAAAGCGACGUGGACUUACAAAAGUUAGUGUGCAUUCCACUUGUAAGUAGACGCUUUCAGCGAGUGAAGUUUGCUUUGUGAAGCGAAAUAUAAUUCCUACAAGAUUCAAGAGCGAAACAAAGCGAUAGAUCAAAAGUUCCAUGUUCCCACUUUUCCAGCGGGAAAGUUUUUGACUGUUGCUCACUCAUUUCG
rnacentral:rRNA from 1 species